UCUCUUCCCGACAGAAGGUGGAACCAACAGAAAGAAUCUCAGUUAAUCCUCACAAUUUCCCUGGUCACAGGGCUCCAGGGUCUGAGAGUACAAGUACUCCGCUCCUGCAGACACGGAGAUUUGUGUGUGCAAAUUGGGACAAAAGAGUUCCCUUUCAUGGAAGCUUUUAAGAAGAAUUUCACAACAGAUGGCCAACUGGUAUACCUAGAUAGGGUUUUACAAAAGGCAGUAGCCAAUGAGGCGGAGUCACCUGAUUCAGGAACUGGGUCUCAGAUUUAGAGUGGAUAAAAACCCCAGAAACUA